rnacentral:rRNA from 1 species
GACGAACGCUGGCGGCGUGCCUAAUACAUGCAAGUUGAGCGAUGAAGAUUGGUGCUUGCACCAAUUUGAAGAGCAGCGAACGGGUGAGUAACGCGUGGGGAAUCUGCCUUUGAGCGGGGGACAACAUUUGGAGACGAAUGCUAAUACCGCAUAACAACUUUAAACAUAAGUUUUAAGUUUGAAAGAUGCAAUUGCAUCACUCAAAGAUGAUCCCGCGUUGUAUUAGCUAGUUGGUGAGGUAAAGGCUCACCAAGGCGAUGAUACAUAGCCGACCUGAGAGGGGGAUCGGCCACAUUGGGACUGAGACACGGCCCAAACUCCUACGGGAGGCAGCAGUAGGGAAUCUUCGGCAAUGGACGAAAGUCUGACCGAGCAACGCCGCGUGAGUGAAGAAGGUUUUCGGAUCGUAAAACUCUGUUGGUAGAGAAGAACGUUGGUAAGAGUGGAAAGCUCAUCAAGUGACGGUAACUACCCAGAAAGGGACGGCUAACUACGUG